AGAAAUAAUAAUGCCUUGACUGCCUGUAUCUCAGAGUUAUGUUCACAGUGAAAUUAGAUGAUGUACAUAAAAGUGUUUGUGCACUAGUCAUUACAUACAGGCUUUUGUAUUUCUGAUGAUCGGAUGGCUCCACCCAGACCCAAGACUCAUGACUCAGAGGUCCUGUGGGCCCCACCCAGAAGUGGACUCAGCACACGAGGACCAUUUUUCACACCCCUAUGAUAUCCCCAACCAAUCAGCACCACCCCUUCACUAGCCCACAAAACUAUCUUUAAAAAACUCGAGCCUCUAGCUAGGCAUGGUGGUUCACAUCUGUAAUCCCAGCAUUUGGGGAGGCUAAGGUGGGAAGAUUCCUUAAGCUCAAGAGUUCAAGACCAGCCUGGGAAACACUUGGAGACCGCAUCUCUACAAAAAAAAAAUAAAAA